rnacentral:rRNA from 1 species
CCUACGGGAGGCAGCAGUGAGGAAUAUUGGUCAAUGGACGAGAGUCUGAACCAGCCAAGUAGCGUGAAGGAUGACUGCCCUAUGGGUUGUAAACUUCUUUUAUAUGGGAAUAAAAUGUUCCACGUGUGGGAUUUUGUAUGUACCAUCUGUAUAAGGAUCGGCUAACUCCGUGCCAGCAGCCGCGGUAAUACGGAGGAUCCGAGCGUUAUCCGGCUUUAUUGGGUUUAAAGGGAGCGUAGGUGGAUUGUUAAGUCAGUUGUGAAAGUUUGCGGCUCAACCGUAAAAUUGCAGUUGAAACUGGCAGUCGUGAGUACAGUAGAGGUGGGCGGAAUUCGUGGUGUAGCGGUGAAAUGCUUAGAUAGCACGAAGAACGCCGAUUGCGAAGGCAGCUCACUGGACUGCAACUGACACUGAGGCUCGAAAGUGUGGGUAUCAAACAGGAUUAGAUACCCCAGUAGUC